rnacentral:RNase_P_RNA from 2 species
GAAGCUGACCAGACAGUCGCCGCUUCGUCGUCGUCCUUUCGGGGAGACGGGCGGAGGGGAGGAAAGUCCGGGCUCCAUAGGGCAGGGUGCCAGGUAACGCCUGGGGGGGAAACCCACGACCAGUGCAACAGAGAGCAGACCGCCGAUGGCCCACGUAAGUGGGAUCAGGUAAGGGUGAAAGGGUGCGGUAAGAGCGCACCGCGCGGCUGGUAACAGUCCGUGGCACGGUAAACUCCACCCGGAGCAAGGCCAAAUAGGGGUUCAUAAGGUACGGCCCGUACUGAACCCGGGUAGGCUGCUUGAGCCAGUGAGCGAUUGCUGGCCUAGAUGAAUGACUGUCCACGACAGAACCCGGCUUAUCGGUCAGUUUCAC